rnacentral:rRNA from 1 species
UGGGGUGCUCGAGUGGCGAACGGGUGAGUAACACGUGAGUAACCUGCCCUUGACUUUGGGAUAACUUCAGUAAACUGGGGCUAAUACCGGAUAGGAGCUCCUGCUUCAUGGUGGGGGUUUGAAAGUUUCGGCGGUUGGGGAUGGACUCGCGGCUUAUCAGCUUGUUGGUGGGGUAGUGGCUUACCAAGGCUUUGACGGGUAGCCGGCCUGAGAGGGUGACCGGCCACAUUGGGACUGAGAUACGGCCCAG